CCUACGGGGGGCAGCAGUGGGGAAUAUUGGACAAUGGGCGAAAGCCUGAUCCAGCCAUGCCGCGUGUGUGAAGAAGGCCUUCGGGUUGUAAAGCACUUUCAGUGGGGAAGAAAGCCUUGGGGCUAAUACCCUCGAGGAAGGACAUCACCCACAGAAGAAGCACCGGCUAACUCCGUGCCAGCAGCCGCGGUAAUACGGAGGGUGCGAGCGUUAAUCGGAAUUACUGGGCGUAAAGCGCGCGUAGGCGGUCUGAUAAGCCGGUUGUGAAAGCCCCGGGCUCAACCUGGGAACGGCAUCCGGAACUGUCAGGCUAGAGUGCAGGAGAGGAAGGUAGAAUUCCCGGUGUAGCGGUGAAAUGCGUAGAGAUCGGGAGGAAUACCAGUGGCGAAGGCGGCCUUCUGGACUGACACCGACGCUGAGGUGCGAAAGCGUGGGUAGCAAACAGGAUUAGAUACCCUUGUAGUC
rnacentral:rRNA from 1 species